rnacentral:misc_RNA from 1 species
AAGUCGUAACAAGGUUUCCGUAGGUGAACCUGCGGAAGGAUCAUUAAUAAACCUCAGGCGCUUGCGCCCACAGGUAACCCUUGAAUAAACUACCUUCGUUGCUUUGGCGGGCCGCCUCCCAGGCCAGCGGCUUCGGCUGCUGUGCGCCCGCCAGAGGACCACAACUCUUGUUUUUAGUGAUGUCUGAGUACUAUAUAAUAGUUAAAA